AUGCACGCUGGCGGCGUGCCUAAUACAUGCAAGUCGAGCGAACGGACGAGAAGCUUGCUUCUCUGAUGUUAGCGGCGGACGGGUGAGUAACACGUGGAUAACCUACCUAUAAGACUGGGAUAACUUCGGGAAACCGUAGCUAAUACCGGAUAAUAUUUUGAACCGCAUGGUUCAAAAGUGAAAGACGGUCUUGCUGUCACUUAUAGAUGGAUCCGCGCUGCAUUAGCUAGUUGGUAAGGUAACGGCUUACCAAGGCAACGAUGCAUAGCCGACCUGAGAGGGUGAUCGGCCACACUGGAACUGAGACACGGUCCAGACUCCUACGGGAGGCAGCAGUAGGGAAUCUUCCGCAACGGGCGAAAGCCUGACGGAGCAACGCCGCGUGAGUGAUGAAGGUCUUCGGAUCGUAAAACUCUGUUAUUAGGGAAGAACAUAUGUGUAAGUAACUGUGCACAUCUUGACGGUACCUAAUCAGAAAGCCACGGCUAACUACGUG
rnacentral:rRNA from 1 species